AUUGUUUAUCAGCCUUUGGCUAUGAUCAAGUAUAGUAUCCAUUUGUAUCAGUUUGAUAUCUCAUAUUCCUCUAUCAGAGAACAGUGCAUUUGAUGUUUUUUUUCCAGCUGGAAGAUAGAAUAAGAGCUUGAUUCCCUGAUUCAAGAUGUUCUGGUACUUCCGUACUUUUGAAAAUGUGCACCCUUC